AUCAAAUCUCAAUCAAACCCCUUCUUCUUCUCUCUCUCUACACUUCUCUCUCUCUCUCUUCAUGAAAAAGUUGAGGGGAAUGUUGUCUGGUGCGAGAUCUUUCAUAUCCCUUUGAAUUUCAACCUCUCCAGAAAUAAAAAAUUCUAUCUUUUUUGAAAUUUGAGUGAUCUCGGACCAGGCUUCAUUCCCCUCAACACCAAAAAUAGAGGAUGUUCAAACCCCUCUUUCUAAAUCUGAAACUGCUGCAAUGAAUACAAGAAGAGCUUCAAAAGCUACGGCUACCUUUGCGUCGGCCGGCAGUGUCGAAUCUCCGGCUGCCACCGCCUAUGUACAGAUGGAGAAAGUACUGAGAGAUCAGGGAGCUGGCCCCAGCACUGGAGUUCCAUUUUCCUCUUCCCUUUUGAAGCCAAUCUUCAAUUCUUAGCUACAAAUUAACAAAUGGAGAGGGAAUUUGAAUGAAGUAAGUAUAUAUGAACUUGUUGCCUUUUCGAUCGAGGUCACGUUGGAUUAAUUUAUAUAUGGUUUUUGUUGUCAUUAAUGCUGUAGUUUAAGUCGAUAGAUUAUGGUAAAUUUCAAUCUUUUUCUUGUAAUACUCUCCUUCCUAUCUAUGAAAUUCGAAUAUCAAUUUAUUUA